AAUCAACGCUGGCGGCGUGCCUCAGACAUGCAAGUCGAACGCGAAAGUCCCCUUCGGGGGACGAAGUAGAGUGGCGCACGGGUGAGUAACACGUAGGUAAUCUACCUUUGGAUGGGGAAUAACAACCGGAAACGGUUGCUAAUACCGCAUAAUGCAGCGGCACCUAAUGGUGACAGUUGUUAAAGCGGGGGAUCGAAAGACCUCGCGUCUGAAGAGGAGCCUGCGGCGGAUUAGCUAGNGGUAAGGUAAUGGCUUACCAAGGCUACGAUCCGUAACCGGCCUGAGAGGGCGGGUCGGUCACACUGACACUGACAUACGGGUCAGACUCCUACGGGAGGCAGCAGUCGGGAAUUUUGGCAAUGGGCGAAAGCCUGACCCAGCAACGCCGCGUGAAGGAU
rnacentral:rRNA from 1 species